UACAGGUUUAGUGAUUAUUUUUUCCCCCAGAGGAGCAUUUUGUACACUUUCCCUAAAAUGAACUCAUAUCUGAUUUCUAGGGACCAUCUGACACAGACAUCAGCUUCCAAGGCCAGCUUCUAACCCCAAGUCCCCCCUCCCGAAUACAGGAGGGACACUGAUACACUCGCCACUCCCAACCUUCUGUGACACGUGCAUCAUCACACCUGGACAUUCUGUAAGGGAUGAGAGAGGCGGUGCAGACAGCAGGGAGGGGAGAGAAACCCUGCAAAUCAAGAAGAGGCCCUCCCAGUCCUUUCUUAGCAACCAGGGGCUGAAAUGCGAGACUACUGGGAAGCACGAGGCAGCACAUGGAUUCUAGUUUUUACAUGAGUGGCCCCCUGGUUUCCUGGUUCUCCUGCUCACACAUGGUAAACUGUAGCAUUUCUUGGCUUCCAUAACCAUCCUGCCCCAGUGAUCUGAGUGUGAAGCAACGACAGACUCAUCAACUGGCCCCCAAAUGGCAGCUGCAGGAUGGAGAGACCAGGGGGGCAGGGGUUGGUGAGAAGGCGUCGAAAGACAGAGGAACAAGAUACAGAAUUCAGAGAUGCUAACAUGGGGAGGAGAUGCAGACUCUUCACCCCCACCCUCCCUGGAGGCAAACUCCAGCACCAGAAGAGAAUUUCACAUCUUAACCCCAGCCCCACGCCAGGCUCCAAAUGUCUGGUGUCCCCGUGCUGGUCACAAAUACUCCCGGAAGCAUGAGAGAGGGGCAGCUGGACUCAUCUCACAUCUGAGGAGGCUUUGUCCUUGCAUCACGUGAACCUCUCCUAAGUAUUCCAUUGGCCAAAAAGUUUGUUUGGGCUUUUAUUAAGCUGAGAUGGCAAAACCCAAACAAACUUUUUGACCAAUCCAAUAGUUCCUGCCAUGGGUGCAGUUUUACUUCUGGGUGAUUUUUUGUGAAUAAACUAGACUUGCCUCAGGCCUUCAAGCUGCAUGAGGGCAUGUGAAGUUUUGUUCACAAGCAUGAACCCAGGCCCUGAUCCUCAAAGUCAGCCAAGAAAAGGCUGAAGGGCCUAAGGGAGGGAAAAACCAUGUAUUCAUGUAUGCUCCCCAGUAUUUGACACUUUAGAGGUAUUCAGAGAGAGAGAGGAGGUGAUCUGUGUGUGCCUGCUUCUCACAGGCAUCCUGACCCCCUGGCUGGCAUUGUCAGCUGGAUUAGGAAGAAACAAUGAUACACAUUAGCCCAACUCCCACUGAACCCAAGCAACCUCAGCCUCCUUCAGGUUCUACUUACCCUGUAGAGCUGCCUCUCUGAUUUGCUCUCAGAUGUUCACGAACUGGGGAACCACUCGCUUGAUCUUGCCUUCUGCAUACCUGAACUGCACAGUCAUUGCUUCCCUUGGCUCAGCCACAAGCUAAUCGAGACCUCUGCAAGCUUCUAGACUAGCAUACCUUCUGCUGUGAGGUGCACACAGAGUAAAACCCACAGUGUUACACCCAGGCUGUAAGUUAAUCUCCAAAACUGCUGUCUGUUGACAAGGCAGCCUCUCACCCCACUCUGCCGCCCAGGAGUGAUCUGGUUUGGAGGAGACAAUGCAUCACAGUGGAGGAGAGAUGAGCUAAGAAUCCAGAAAGCUGGGUUACCGGUCCAGCUCUGCCACGGAACCUUGUGACCACGGGGAAGGCAGUAUCAGUGUCUCACUCUGGGCCUCGUAUUCCCACCUGUAAAAUGUGAGAGGUGAACCAGAAGCUUCCUUGGCAUGAAGCAUGGCAUGGGUGGGAGGCAGGUGCAAUGUGAAGUCUCUCAGGCUCAAGUUCAAAUCCCUGCUCUGUCAUUUCAUGUCUCAGCAACUCUGAGAAAGUUACUGAGCGCUUGGUAGCCUCAGAUUCUUCCUAUGUAAGAUGGAGAUGAUAACAAUACGUCACUGGCAUUACUAUGUUCACCUUUCCCUUCCCGUCUGCUCUCCAAACUGCUUUUUAAAGCACAAAUCUGAUCACAGGGGUCUCCCU